rnacentral:sRNA from 1 species
UCCGUGCUGAGAUAAGCUUGCAAGUGCC